GCCCUGGUGGUGGAAUUGGUAGACACAAGGGAUUUAAAAUCCCUCGGCGUUCGCGCUGUGCCGGUUCAAGUCCGGCCCGGGCCG
rnacentral:tRNA from 1 species